UACGGAGGGUGCAAGCGUUAUCCGGAAUCACUGGGUUUAAAGGGUGCGUAGGCGGUCUGAUAAGUCAGUUGUGAAAUUCCCCGGCUUAACCGGGUGGACUGCGAUUGAUACUGUUAGACUUGAAUCAGGUUGAGGUAGGCGGAAUGUGACAUGUAGCGGUGAAAUGCUUAGAUAUGUCAUAGAACACCGAUUGCGAAGGCAGCUUGCUGGGCUUCGAUUGACGCUGAGGCACGAAAGCGUGGGGAGCAAACAGG
rnacentral:rRNA from 1 species